rnacentral:rRNA from 1 species
GAAUGGCCGCAGUAUAUUGACUGUGCAAAGGUAGCAUAAUCAUUAGUUUUUUAAUUGAAAGCUGGAAUGAAAGGUUUGAUGAGAAAAUAACUGUCUCGGUUUGAUUGUUUUAGAAUUUCAAUUUUAAGUGAGAAAGCUUAAAUUUUUUAUAAAGACGAGAAGACCCUAUAGAGUUUUACAUUUGCUUAAUUAUUCGUUUGGAGGUGUUUAUUGGCUAGUAUUUUUGCAUGUGUUUUGUUGGGGCGAUGGAAAAAUUUAUUUAACUUUUUUUUGUUUUCUACAUUGAUUUAUGAUUAUUUGAUCCUUUUUUUUUGGAUUAUAAGAUUAAAUUACCUUAGGGAUAACAGCGUAAUUUUUCUUGGAGAGUUCUUAUCGAUAGGAGAGUUUGCGACCUCGAUGUUGGAUUAAAAUUAGGUUCCGGUGAAGGGGCUGGGAUUUUGGGUCUGUUCGACCUUUAAAAUUUU